UUAAUCCAGAGGUUCAAAUCCUCUUCUCAAUU
rnacentral:tRNA from 1 species